rnacentral:rRNA from 1 species
UAUAUCCUACGGGGGGCAGCAGUGGGGGAUAUUGCACAAUGGGGGAAACCCUGAUGCAGCGACGCCGCGUGAGUGAAGAAGUAUUUCGGUAUGUAAAGCUCUAUCAGCAGGGAAGAUAGUGACGGUACCUGAGUAAGAAGCCCCGGCUAACUACGUGCCAGCAGCCGCGGUAAUACGUAGGGGGCAAGCGUUAUCCGGAUUUACUGGGUGUAAAGGGAGCGUAGACGGCAUGGCAAGUCUGAAGUGAAAGCCCGGGGCUCAACCGCGGGACUGCUUUGGAAACUGUUAAG